rnacentral:rRNA from 1 species
CCUACGGGAGGCAGCAGUGGGGAAUAUUGGGCAAUGGGCGCAAGCCUGACCCAGCAACGCCGCGUGAAGGAAGAAGGCUUUCGGGUUGUAAACUUCUUUUCUCAGGGACGAAGCAAGUGACGGUACCUGAGGAAUAAGCCACGGCUAACUACGUGCCAGCAGCCGCGGUAAUACGUAGGUGGCAAGCGUUAUCCGGAUUUACUGGGUGUAAAGGGCGUGUAGGCGGGAAAGCAAGUCAGAUGUGAAAACCAUGGGCUCAACCUGUGGACUGCAUUUGAAACUGUUUUUCUUGAGUACGGGAGAGGCAGACGGAAUUCCUAGUGUAGCGGUGAAAUGCGUAGAUAUUAGGAGGAACACCAGUGGCGAAGGCGGUCUGCUGGACAGUAACUGACGCUGAGGCGCGAAAGCGUGGGGAGCAAACAGGAUUAGAUACCCUUGUAGUC